AACGCACCUUGCGCUCCUUGGUAUUCCGAGGAGCAUGCCUGUUUGAGUGUCAUGGAAUUCUCAACCUUCUGAACUUUUGUGAUGGAAGGCUUGGACUUGGAGGUCGUGUCGGCUUGCGAAAGUCGACUCCUCUGAAAUGCAUUAGUGCGAACCUUACGGAUCGCUUCGGUGUGAUAAUUAUCUGCGCCGUGGUGUUGAAGUAUAACAGUGUUCGAGCUUCUAACCGUCCGCGAGGACAACUACUUUGACAAUCUGACCUCAAAUCAGGUAGGACUACCCGCUGAACUUAA
rnacentral:misc_RNA from 1 species